rnacentral:rRNA from 1 species
AGCGCGGGUGCGAGUCAGAGGGUGCAAGCCCGUGGGCGAAGUGAAAGCGAGUUUAAAAACGAGCAGUUUGGGGCGGCAUAAGAUCGUUGAUCUUAAGACUGACCCAGAGCAGUUGCGCUGGGACCCGAAAGGUGGUGAACUAUGCCUGAGUAGGGCAAAGCCAGAGGAAACUCUGGUGGAGGCUCGUAGCGGUGCUGACGUGCAAAUCGCUCGUCGAACUUGGGUAUAGGGGCGAAAGACUAAUCGAACCAUCUAGUAGCUGGUUCCCUCCGAAGUUUCUCUCAGGAUAGCGGGCCGACAAGUUGUUUUGUGCGGUAAAGCGAAUGAUUAGCGCAAUUGGGGGCGUUUAGCCUUCGGGCGAUUCUCAAACUUUCAAUGCGCAAGGGUGCCGCUGCUUAAUUGAGCGGUACCGGUAAAAACGUCGACCCAGUGGGCCACUUUUGGUAAGCAGAACUGGCGAUACGGGAUGAACCGUAAGCAAGGUUAAGGCGCCAAACUGCCCGCUUAUAGAUCCCACAAAAGGUGUUGAUUCAUCGAGACAGCAGGACGGUGGCCAUGGAAGUCGGAAUCCGCCAAGGAGUGUGUAACAACUCACCUGCCGAAUGAAUUAGCCCUGAAAAUGGAUGGCGCUGAAGCGGGCGGCCGACACCUUGCCGUCUGAACAAGAAUUUCAGAUGAGUAGGAGGGCGUGGCGAUCGUGUCGAAGCACGCGUGCAGACGCAUGUGGAACGGUCGCUAGUGCAGAUCUUGGUGGUAGUAGCAAGUAUUCAAGCGAGAUCCUUGAAGGGCGAAGUGGGGAAGGGUUUCACGCGAACAUUGAUUGGGCGUGAGUGAGUCGUUCCUAAGCCGAGUGGCAAUUGCUAAUUACCGGCGAAAGGGAAGCGGGUUGACAUUCCCGCACACGGAUGUGGAGGCGGCGACGCAUUAUUGGGGCGAACACGCUGGCGAUGGCGCUGGGCAGAGUUGUCUUUUCUGUUUGACCGCUUGCGCACGCAGUGUGGAAUCCUCUUGUAGGGAGAAACACGCGUGUACGGGCAGAGCGCUGGGGCUUUUCCAGCGUCCAGCUCGCCAUCGACGGCCCUUGAAACUUUGCCUGCUG